rnacentral:rRNA from 1 species
AUUGAACGCUGGCGGCAGGCUUAACACAUGCAAGUCGAGCGAGCGGCGGACGGGUGAGUAAUGUCUGGGAACCUGCCUGAUGGAGGGGGGUAACUACUGGAAACGGUAGCUAAUACCUCAUACCAUCAGAUGUGCCCAGAUGGGGUUAGCUAUUAGGUGGGGGGAUGGGUCACCUAGGCGACGAUCCCUAGCUGGUCUGAGAGGAUGACCGGCCACACGCGAAAUGAGAGACGGUCCAGACUCCUGCGGGCGGCAGCAGUGGGGAGUAGUGCACAAUGGGCGCAAGCCUGAUGCAGCCAGGCCGCGCGUGUGAAGAAGGCCGUCGGGUUGGGGAGCACUUUCAGCGAGGAGGCGGUACUCGCAGAAGAAGCACCGGCUAACUCCGUGCCAGCAGCCGCGGUAAUAC